rnacentral:misc_RNA from 1 species
UAACAUUCAAAAGGAGUCCACCCUCCACCUGGUGCUUCGGCUCAGGGGAGGUAUGCAGAUUUUUGUCAAGACCCUCACAGGGAAGACAAUUACCCUGGAGGUUGAGAGCUCGGAUACCAUCGACAAUGUUAAAGCCAAAAUUCAGGAUAAAGAAGGCAUACCUCCUGAUCAGCAGAGACUGAUUUUUGCUGGAAAACAAUUGGAAGAUGGUAGAACCCUGGCUGAUUACAACAUUCAGAAAGAAUCA